AUACUGUCAUUUUUAUUCAAUAUGUCACAGAUUUGAAAACUUCAAAAAAUUAACUAGAAUUUUAGUCUCCGGUUUUUUAUUUAUGCAAAGAUACAAAAUUUCAAGUGAAACAUGUAGCAAAAAUAAAAAUUAUCUUCCCGAUGAUGAAAAGUAUAGACAAAAAAUUAGAAAGUUAAAACAGCAGCAUGUUAUUUUAGAACACAAAGAGACAACGAAGAACCCAAAAAUAAAUUUUCAUGAUUCAUUACCUUUUAUAGUACAUAAAAUACCAAUUUCACCACAGUGUAAAAAGUUGGAGAACAAAGACAAUGUCAAAAGUAUAUUUAAAAAAAUACUUCAACAAAAUUGUUCUCAAUCAGAAGAAAAGAAAACCACUUUGCUAGAAAAUGUAGCGGUUGGAACAAGUAAACCGAUUGUGGAUAUUAAUACACUAUUAAAUGAUUCAAAUGUAUUUAAAAAUAGGAGUGUAGUUACCAUGUGGAACGAAGCUGUAAAGAACAAACCAAAUAGAGAUGCUUCAAAUCUAGUUAGAGUAUGUGCAAAGCAUAGGAGACAAUACUCACAACAAUCUAAAGAACGUAAAGAACAUAAAGAAACGCAUAUAGGCCUGACUACUAUAGACUUACAUGACUGUAAAAAUCAAAGAUCUACCCAGAAAAGUCUUCAAGGUGAAAAUAAUAGUACACAAGUUAGUUUUAUCGAAAAAAUGUAAAGCCAGGCCAUAUCAUGUUUCCCAGUAAAGGAACUAUUUUAAUUGCUGUGAAUCUAAAACUAUUAAUUGUUAGAGAAAAACUACUGUUGGAAAUAUGGAAACUCCCUAUGUAACCUGUAACUAUUAACAAUAAUUAUGUCAACACAAGCCAUGUGACACAUUAUCCGGCGAUGCAAUAUUAGCUGUUCAUUCCGAGUCUCUUUAGUGACCAAAAUGGCUUCAAGAAAUGAUCAAGUCAAAUGGAUAUAAAAAUCAAGUCCAAUUACAUUCACCACAAAACAUACCAAGUAAUAUACUAAUACACUGUUAACUGUAACCUGUGCACAAUUAUCAACAGGGACCAAAUAAAUUGUAACAGAUCAAUACUAAAAAAAACAUCAAACCCAAUAUCUAUCUUAUAUACUGGAAGUUUUUUCUUACAAAACGUUUACUACUGAUUUACUCAUAUAUCUACACUUAUUCAUGUAAAAUACAUUUCAAAUUUUCAAACAAUAAAACAAAAUUAACUUUGUUA